UAGCAAGUGUUUAUGAUAUUUAUUAUCAUGCUUACGUAUGGAACUGUAUCAAAUGAGUUAAAUUUUUAAUUUUAAACGCAAUAGUAAAUGUGUAAAAAUGUCUAGCAGAUUGGAUAUAUUAUGGUCACCGGCACAUCAUGACAAAUUCAUUGUUUGGGGCCCAGACAUAACCUUGUACGAAGUGGCAAGGAUAAAAGAAAUCGAGAAGAAAACGACUUUCACUCCAAUUUCCUCAACCUAUGGAGCCACAGUUGUUGCGUCCCAGAGUGCUAGUGGAGUGCGGUGCGUUGAUAUCAGUGCUGAACCAGAGCAGCCUGAGCCAUUGCUCGCUCUUGGAUAUGCUAGUGGACGGGUCUCACUUACCACCCUUAAACAAACAUAUGACCCUUUGGGACUAGUUGGAAGAGAGUUUGCACCAAGAUACCAAAGGCUUUGCAACUCUGUGUCAUGGAGUCACAUGGAGACAAACAUGUUGGCAGUCGCGAUGGAGAAACAUCGUAGUGACCACUGCAUACUUGUAUGGGAUGUAAACCGAGGUUCGGCAGCUGCUGAUGAGGCUUUAGAAAGUACUUCUCAAGGAAGUGUAGAUCCGAUGCGACCACUAGCAGAAAUGGGACUAUCUGAGACAGCACAUAAUGUAACCUGGUCUAACUGCUCGAACAGGACCUUAUUGGCUUCAAUGAACUUGAAGUACAUCAAAAUAUUUGAUCUUAGAGAUUUAUCGAACAAAGCCGUGAGCAUGACCGCGACCCGCUACUGCUACGGUGUGUGUGCCGACCCGAACAGCUCCCACCAGCUCGCCUCCCGCGGAGAGAACGUGGUCUGUCUUUGGGACACCAGGCACUUCGACCGCCCCGUACUCUCUCUGCAGCAUCCCCGGCCUCUAGCCGUCACCCAUCUGCAGUGGUGCCCUACCAGACGCAACCUUCUUCUCUCGCUACAGAGAGAUUCCAAGUCGCUCCGCAUCCACGACAUACAGCAGGCCAGUGCUGAGUGGAAGAAAAACGCGCUCGAUGUGCUGACGGCGACGGCCGUAGAGGCCGAAGUGGAGGAGUACUCUCGCAGACCGAGCGUGUUGGAGCGUGACGUCACUCCUGGAGGGUCGCAGCCGCUCGUGGCCUUCUGCUGCCAUCCGGCUCACGAGGCGCGUCUGCUGGCACUCAGCGCCACAGGCGGUCUGGUAGACUACACGGUCUGCGAGCGCGUGGCGGUGUCCUGGGGGGCGGGGGGAGGGCUGGCCUGGUCCGGGGGAGGAGGGGGACUCCGUGUCCUCAACGACGACUUGUGCGGGGUCGUGAAGGACAUCUCGCACGUCAUGAGACGACGCGCCCAAACCGACUACGGCCUCAAGCAAGACCUGUGGCAGAACGCAGACCUCGCCGAUGACGACGCGCUCAGCGCCCUGUGGCACUUCAUGGCCUUGAGCAAGUCCUUGGUGGAAGAUGGUUGCAUAAGGAACAGUCCGUGGAAGCACCCGGGCGUGCUGACCGUGCUGCGGUCCCCGGGCGACGGCGGCUACCGCUCCGAGAUAGUGCCCUCCCUGCUGCCCGAUAUGCCCAACCGCAGGGUCACGCUCUACAGGAGUGCAGAGCGAACUCGUGCACUGCAGCUGUGCGGGUGGGGGUGGGGGUGGGAGAACGCGGACGCGGGGGUGGAGCGCGCCGAGGCCGAGGGCACCCCGUGUCGCGCCGCCGCACUCGCCGCCUUCCACCUCCGGCUCAGGACUGCUCUGGACGUGCUGGCCCGGGCGCACGAGCCGCAGCUCCGCGUGGUGGGGCUGGCGCUGGCGGGGCUGAGUGAGGAGCGGCUGUGGCGUGAGGCGCUGGCGGCCGGCGCCUCCGCCCUGCCCGACGCCUACCUGCGCGGCCUGCUGCACUUCCUGGCGGCCUCCGCCCCCGCGCCGCCCGCCCUGCACGCGCCCUCCGCGCCGCCCGACCUGUCCGCCGUGCUCGACGAGACGGAGAUGCGGCUGGAGGACCGCGUGGCCUUCGCCUGCAUGUUCCUGUCGGACGGCAAGCUGCACGAGUACGUGCGCCACACGGCCGACGCGCUCGUGCAGCGCGGGGACCUGUCCGGCGUGCUGCUCACCGGGGCCGGCGCGGAGGGCGCGGCGCUGCUGCAGCACUGGCUGGACGCGAGCGGCGACGUGCAGAGUGCCGCCCUGCUGGCCGCGCGCUGCUUCACGCCGGAGCUGCUGGCCCUGCCGCACGUGCAGCACUGGCUCGACAGCUACCGCGGGCUGCUGGACGGCUGGCGGCUGUGGUGGGCUCGCUGCGCGCUGGACACGUGGGUGUGCGGGGGCAGCGCCGCGGCCGCCGUGCGCCACGUGUGCGUGGCCUGCACCUACUGCGGCAAGUCCGUGGCGGCGGCCGCGGGGGCCCGGCCUCGCCCGCCGCUCGCGCGCCUGCCGCCGCCCGCCGCCAAGAUGAAGCAAAUCUCGUCGUGCCCGAACUGCCGCAAGCCGCUGCCGCGCUGCGCCGUGUGCUCGCUGCACCUGGGCACGGGCGCGGGGGGCGGCGCGGGGGGUGCGGCGGGCGGCGGCGCGGGGGGCGCGGCCUUCCCCCGCUGGUUCAGCUGGUGCGUGGCCUGCAGGCACGGGGGCCACGCCGCGCACCUCAUGGACUGGUUCAAGGAGCACGCGGAGUGCCCGGUCAGCUCCUGCAACUGCCGCUGCAGCACCCUGGACCCCCCCCACCGCCUGUAGCGCGCACCGGCACGCGGGGGCGGCGCCCCGGGGGACCGACUAUCUACUGAACACACGUUUUUCUUUGGUUAAGAAAAUCAAUGAAUUGUAUAUCUGAGACACGAUGAGUGCCCACUGAGGCUCGACACAGAGCCGUUAGCGAGGGACGCACCCUCCGUGUGCCAGCGUGUGAGAAGUAGCUUGUGAUCUGGGAACCCAGAUAAAAUACCUUUAUAAAAUAUACGAAGAGUACUCGACCGGAUUAAGGAUCCGUUUUGUUUAUGUUUUUUUUAAGUAAUCACCGUUGGGCGGGCAUACGGCUCAUCUGACGGUUAGUGCACACUCUAGAUUAUUAUAAUCAUUAUUAGUAAUUAAAAGCUACAAGGCCUGUGGGAUCCACGUUCAUUGUAUCGAAGUAAAUUCGGGAAAACUAAUUAAGCAUAAGAACGUUUUACAGAAAUAUAUAUUUUUAUACUAGAACUUAGUACUUUAAGGUAAGAGCUUAGAUUCAGUAGGAGGGCUCUUCACUAGUCAUUAUUGAACAAAAAGUGUGAUCUGUCUGUACAUCGGGAUUUUGUAAUGACUCAUGUUCGCUCAAUGUGCAAAUGACCUCUUUAGGUAUAGGCUUUAUUCAAACAUAUACUUUGGUCUAUAUUUUUAACUACUCUGUGUACGACUCGACUUUUGGCGGAAACGCGACAAACGAACUUUUACAAGGUUUAAUUUUUGUAAUUAAAUUUUCUUCCGGCUUAAACGUCUAAUAAAGGACGGUUAUUAACUGUUUAGUAUCUGUGAAAGUGUAUAAAUGUGAGAAAACGAAACGCAGUCGCUGGAUAUGGCUUCUCGGUUUGUUCCAAAAAGUUCAGUGAAGUUUCAGGAAAUAACCACAAUUUUACUGAGACUUUAUUUCAUCCCAUAUCGCUUCAUUUAAUUUCAUCCAAAUUCAUUACAGUCUCAGAUUACAUAGAAAACUUCUCAUUACAUCCAACCAUUACAUACAUUAUUAUUUUUCGUAAUGUUCGUACGAAUAUACAAAAGAUUAGGAUUAGAUUAUGGCGUGAUAGGUUUGCCAUGUUGGAAAAAUGGAACUACUACUUCUGAAAGGUCAGUUUUGUUGUAAUCUUAUUGAUAACCUACAACACUUUUCAAUUUGAACUCAAAGCAUGAAUAUAGUCAUGACUUGAUACUUUUAAGACUUAUUCUAAUCCGAAAAUGUACUUGGGUCGUAGAAAAAAUAUAAAUGAUUUAUUAAAAGACUCGGUGGUAUUGAUACGUUUUUUUUUAAUGCCGUAUAGGCAGACAAGGAU
rnacentral:misc_RNA from 1 species